rnacentral:rRNA from 1 species
GAUGAACGCUGGCGGCGUGCCUAAUACAUGCAAGUCGAGCGAAUGGAUUAAGAGCUUGCUCUUAUGAAGUUAGCGGCGGACGGGUGAGUAACACGUGGGUAACCUGCCCAUAAGACUGGGAUAACUCCGGGAAACCGGGGCUAAUACCGGAUAACAUUUUGAACCGCAUGGUUCGAAAUUGAAAGGCGGCUUCGGCUGUCACUUAUGGAUGGACCCGCGCUGCAUUAGCUAGUUGGUGAGGUAACGGCUCACCAAGGCAACGAUGCGUAGCCGACCUGAGAGGGUGGUCGGCCCCACUGGGACUGAGACACGGCCCAGACUCCUACGGGAGGCAGCAGUAGGGAAUCUUCCGCAAUGGACGAAAGUCUGACGGAGCAACGCCGCGUGAGUGAUGAAGGCUUUCGGGUCGUAAAACUCUGUUGUUAGGGAAGAACAAGUGCUAGUUGAAUAAGCUGGCACCUUGACGGUACCUAACCAGAAAGCCACGGCUAACUACGUGCCAGCCGCCGCCGUAA